ACCAAAAAACCGAGUUUGAUCCUGGCUCAGAAUGAACGCUAGCGAUAUGCUUAACACAUGCAAGUCGAACGUUGUUUUCGGUCUAUAGAACAGUUGAAGACAAAGUGGCGAACGGGUGCGUAACGCGUGGGAAUCUGCCAAACAGUUUGGGCCGAAUCCCAAAGAAACGAAAGCAAAAAAGCUUCGAUAAAGCUAAAAAGCGCUGUUUGAUGAGCCUGCGUAGUAUUAGGUAGCUGGUUGGGUAAAGGCUGACCAAGCCGCAGAUGCUUAGCUGAUCUUUUCGGACGAUCAGCCACACUGGGACUGAGACACGGCCCAGACUCCGUAGGGAGGCAGCAGUGGGGAAUAUCGGACAAUGGGCGAAAGCCCGAUCCAGCAAUAUCGCGUGAGUGAGUGAAAAACGUCGCGUUAGCGAGGAAGGGCAAUGCCGCUUGUAAAGCUCUUUCGUCGAGUGCGCGAUUAUGACAAGACUCGAAGAAGAAGCCCCGGCUAACUCCGUGCCAGCAGCCGCGGUAAGACGGGGGGGGCAAGUGUUAUUCGGAAUGACUGGGCGUAAAGGGCACGUAGGCAGUGAAUCAGGUUGAAAGUCAAAGACGCCAGCUCAACUGGCGGAAUGCUUUCAAAACCAAUUCACUCGAGUGAGAUAGAGGGGAGUGGAAUUUCGUGUGUAGGGACAAAAUCCGGAGAUAUACGAAGGAACGCCGAAGUAGCGAAGGCAGCUUUCUGGGUCUCUACUGACGCUAGGGUGCGAAAGCUUGGGGAGCAAACAGGAUUAGAUACCCUGGUAGUCCAUGCCGUAAACGAUGAGUGUUCGUCCUUGGUCCGCGGAUCGGGGGCUCAGCUAACGCGUUAAACACUCCGCCUGGGGAGUACGGUCGCAAGACUGAAACUCAAAGGAAUUGACGGGGGCCUGCACAAGCGGUGGAGCAUGUGGUUUAAUUCGAUACAACGCGCAAAACCUUACCAGCCCUUGACAUAUGAACACUUGACGUAUGAACACUUGACAUAUGAACAAGUGUGCUUGUCCUUAACGGGAUGAAACGAAAAUUCAUACAGGUGCUGCAUGGCUGUCGUCAGCUCGUGUCGUGAGACGUUUUUGGUUAACUCCUAUAACGAGCGAAACCCUCGUCUUGUGUUGCUAAGACAUGCUGCUCCCAGAGGAUCAAUGUCAUCAUUCACCCCUGCAGGAACAUAGAACAUGGGCGCCGCGCGGUUCCGACGAGCGAGCCGCCCGGUAAUGGGUGGUAAGUGAGCCGGUACCUGCCCACGAAUCUGUGUUCAGUCAGCGGAAUUGAUGACACUCCCUCUGUGCCGAUGUUGCACUCACAAGAGACUGCCCGUAGUUCUACUAUGGAGGAAGGUGGGGAUGACGUCAAGUCCGCAUGGCCCUUAUGGGCUGGGCUACACACGUGCUACAAUGGCAAUUACAAUAGGAAGCAGGGCCGUAAGGCGGAGCGAAUCCAGAAAGAUUGCCUCAGUUCGGAUUGUUCUCUGCAACUCGAGAACAUGAAGUUGGAAUCGCUAGUAAUCGCGGAUCAGCAUGCCGCGGUGAAUACGUACCCGGGCCCCGUACACACCGCCCGUCACACCCUGGGAAUUGGUUUCGCCCAAAGCAUCGACCAGAGAUCACCCAUUACGGCAAGUGUUCCAUGCCUAGUUGAGUGUGGCCCAUUUUGGUAUUGGUGGUCUCCUUGGCGCAUAUCACGGUUGGGUCAGUGACUGGGGUGAAGUCGUAACAUGGUAGUCGUAGGGGAACCCGUGGCUGGAGGGAAUC
rnacentral:rRNA from 1 species